AUUGAACGCUGGCGGCAUGCCUUACACAUGCAAGUCGAACGGUAACAGGUUAAGCUGACGAGUGGCGAACGGGUGAGUAAUGUAUCGGAACGUGCCCAGUCGUGGGGGAUAACUACUCGAAAGAGUGGCUAAUACCGCAUACGACCUGAGGGUGAAAGCGGGGGACCGUAAGGCCUCGCGCGAUUGGAGCGGCCGAUAUCAGAUUAGCUAGUUGGUGGGGUAAAAGCCCACCAAGGCGACGAUCUGUAGCUGGUCUGAGAGGACGACCAGCCACACUGGGACUGAGACACGGCCCAGACUCCUACGGGAGGCAGCAGUGGGGAAUUUUGGACAAUGGGCGCAAGCCUGAUCCAGCAAUGCCGCGUGCAGGAUGAAGGCCUUCGGGUUGUAAACUGCUUUUGUACGGAACGAAAAGCCCUGGGUUAAUACCCUGGGGUCAUGACGGUACCGUAAGAAUAAGCACCGGCUAACUACGUGCCAGCCGCCGCUGUAAUAC
rnacentral:rRNA from 1 species